UACGGAGGGUGCGAGCGUUGUCCGGAAUCACUGGGCGUAAAGGGCGCGUAGGCGGAUUCGUAAGUCAGGGGUGAAAUCCCGGGGCUCAACCUCGGAACUGCCUUUGAUACUGCGGGUCUUGAGUCCGAUAGAGGUGGGUGGAAUUCCUAGUGUAGAGGUGAAAUUCGUAGAUAUUAGGAAGAACACCGGUGGCGAAGGCGGCCCACUGGAUCGGUACUGACGCUGAGGUGCGAAAGCGUGGGGAGCAAACAGG
rnacentral:rRNA from 1 species